AUGCACGCUGGCGGCGUGCCUAAUACAUGCAAGUCGAGCGAACAGAUGAGGAGCUUGCUCCUCUGACGUUAGCGGCGGACGGGUGAGUAACACGUGGAUAACCUACCUAUAAGACUGGGAUAACUUCGGGAAACCGGAGCUAAUACCGGAUAAUAUAUUGAACCGCAUGGUUCAAUAGUGAAAGACGGUUUUGCUGUCACUUAUAGAUGGAUCCGCGCCGCAUUAGCUAGUUGGUAAGGUAACGGCUUACCAAGGCAACGAUGCGUAGCCGACCUGAGAGGGUGAUCGGCCACACUGGAACUGAGACACGGUCCAGACUCCUACGGGAGGCAGCAGUAGGGAAUCUUGCGCAAUGGGCGAAAGCUUGACGGAGCAACGCCGCGUGAGUGAUGAAGGUCUUCGGAUCGUAAAACUCUGUUAUUAGGGAAGAAAAAAUGUGUAAGAAACUAUGCACGUCUUGACGGUACCUAAUCAGAAAGCCACGGCUAACUACGUG
rnacentral:rRNA from 1 species